rnacentral:tRNA from 1 species
CGCGGAGUAGAGCAGUCUGGUAGCUCGUCAGGCUCAUAACCUGAAGGUCUGUGGUUCAAAUCCACACUCCGCAACCA